rnacentral:ncRNA from 1 species
CAUCUAAGCGGGAAACUCGCCUUAAGAUUAGACUUCCCGGGGACUUGAUCCCCCUGAAGGGUCGCGGAAGACCACCGCGUUGAUAGGCCGGGUGUGUACGAGGAGUAAUCCUUUGAGCUAACCGGUACUAAUUGCCCGUGCGGCUUGAUCCU